rnacentral:misc_RNA from 1 species
AAGUCGUAACAAGGUUUCCGUAGGUGAACCUGCGGAAGGAUCAUUAACAAGUCCUGCUGCGUGUGCAAGAUUAAUAUUUUGCAUGCGCACAUCCGUUCCAUGCACAUUGUGCAUGACAUUUCUGCGAAUCCUCUGAUUGUCGCCUCCAACUAAUACAAAACUUUUAACAAUGGAUCUCUAGGCUCUU